rnacentral:rRNA from 1 species
UGGGGAAUAUUGCGCAAUGGGCGAAAGCCUGACGCAGCGACGCCGCGUGAGGGAUGAAGGUUUUCGGAUCGUAAACCUCUGUCAGAAGGGAAGAAACCGCACUGUGCUAAUCAGCAGUGCCUUGACGGUACCUUCAAAGGAAGCACCGGCUAACUCCGUGCCAGCAGCCGCGGUAAUACGGAGGGUGCAAGCGUUAAUCGGAAUUACUGGGCGUAAAGCGCACGUAGGCUGCUUUGUAAGUCAGGGGUGAAAUCCCACGGCUCAACCGUGGAACUGCCUUUGAUACUGCUUAGCUUGAAUCCGGGAGAGGGUGGCGGAAUCCCAGGUGUAGGGGUGAAAUCCGUAGAUAUCUGGAGGAACAUCAGUGGCGAAGGCGGCCACCUGGACCGGUAUUGACGCUGAGGUGCGAAAGCGUGGGGAGCAAACAGG